CAUAUAUAUGUUUGAUUGUAUUAACUAUCAAUUUUUUCUUUGUACUUUGUUAAUGCAUACUACAGAGAAUUGCAAUUAUACAAUCAUGUAACAUGUAUUUUUUUAUUUGUGUAAACUGAUAAAUCAGAAAGAAGGUGAAGAGUAAAUUCUUGACGGAAAGAGUUUGUUGUUCAUUGCAAAAACUUUUCCAAAUAAAAAAGGGAGAUGAAUUAUAUAAAAUUAUAAGUAAGAGAAAUAUUUGUGUAUUAAAUGUAAAGAAAGAUAAACAUUCAGAGAAUGGUGUUAAAUUAAAACAAGAAUAAACAAAUGACUAACACAUCAUUUAAACACAAACUUUUGUAUGUAACAACAUAAAUCACAAAAUAAAUGUAAGCUAUAAUGGCAACAAAGCUAGUUCAAAUUGCAUGCAGGUGUCAUCAAGAAUGUAAAGACAAACAAAAUAUUAGAUUUAAUAAAACAAUAGAAGAAAAAUAAAGUUUAGAAAAGGGAGAGUCUGCGCAGUUGAUAGAAAGGAUCCGUCAAAAAAGGUAGUGUGUGCAUGCCAAAAGAAAUCAAGAAGAAAUAUUAAUUAAUAAAAAGAAGGAAAAGCCCAUAAUAACUGAUUCAAAGAAAAAUCUGUGUGUGUCACUAAAAGAACAUUUCACCAUUAGAAGACAAGUGACUUUGUUAAUAUUCAAGGUAUUUAUCUUUGGAUUAUGCUGGAUGCACUGCUCUAUGUGAUAGAGCUAGCAUUACUAGUACAGAGAUUUCUCUCAAUAAAGGAUUUAGGUUUGUUUGUAAACUGUAUUGUUGCAAUCACUGCAUCAUUGGAGAUUUCCUCUUCUUCAUCCUUCCUGACAAAAGUGCCACAUAUCUAUGUUUUGGCUAUCAAAUAUAUCCUCAUGCCACAGUUGUCUCACAGGCGUCACAAUAUUGCUGUAUAUGCAGCUGAAAAUUUUCAGGAUUAAAAAGUUUUUCAGUCUAUCUGCUUAAAUAGUGCUGUUUAUUUAUUUGAAUUGCUUACCAUCUUGGAGGAUUCAGAUUCAAUUCAGAAUUUCAUAUAUUCAGUAUUUUUAAGGUAGGCC
rnacentral:lncRNA from 1 species